UCUCCGUAGGUGAACCUGCGGAGGGAUCAUUCACAUGAUUUACUUUAUAAACAAACUGUGAACUUUAUUAUAUACUAUUCUUGUAAGGAUUAUUUUAUAAUCUUUUACAACGUCAUUCGAUGAACAUUAGAUAGUUGGCUUGUUUUUUUUUAAAUAAAAAACUUUCCCAGCUGAUUUGUUUGUUAGACUAAACAUCUAUUCAAUCAAUCAACCAAAAACAUAGAAACAACUCUAUGCCCUGGAUAUCUUGGUUCUC
rnacentral:misc_RNA from 1 species